ACUUUCGAUGGUAGGAUAGAGGCCUACCAUGGUAGUAACGGGUAACGGGGUGUUAGGGCACGACACCGGAGAGGGAGCCUGAGAAACGGCUACCACAUCCAAGGAUGGCAGCAGGCGCGCAAAUUACCCAAUCCCAACACGGGGAGGUAGUGACAAUAAAUAACAAUACGAAGUUCUUUUGGAUUUUUGUAAUUGGAAUGAGUACAAUUUAAAUCUCUUAACGAGGAACAAUUGGAGGGCAAGUCUGGUGCCAGCAGCCGCGGUAAUUCCAGCUCCAAUAGCGUAUAUUAAAGUUGUUGCAGUUAAAAAGCUCGUAGUUGAAUCUCGGGAUCAAUUAAUUGGUCGUGCCUAUGGUACGUACUGAUUUUAUUGGUUUCUCCCUUCUGACGAACCAUGAUGUCAUUAAUUUGGUGUCGUGGAGAAUCAGGACUGUUACUUUGAAAAAAUUAGAGUGUUUAAAGCAAGCUAACGCUUGAAUACAUUAGCAUGGAAUAAUGAAAUAGGACGUUUGAUCCUAUUUUGUUGGUUUCUAGGAUCGACGUAAUGAUUAAUAGGGAUAGUUGGGGGCAUUAGUAUUCAAUUGUCAGAGGUGAAAUUCUUGGAUUUAUUGAAGACUAACUACUGCGAAAGCAUUUGCCAAGGAUGUUUUCAUUAAUCAAGAACGAAAGUUAGGGGAUCGAAGACGAUCAGAUACCGUCGUAGUCUUAACCAUAAACUAUGCCGACUAGGGAUCGGAUGAUGUUAAUUUUUUUUAAUGACUCAUUCGGCGCCUUAUGGGAAACCAAAGUGUUUGGGUUC
rnacentral:rRNA from 1 species